GGCUCCCAGGCUCCCGAAGACCUCCGGAUCCCGGUUUUUGGGGGGUUUUGUGGGGUGUCCUUUGGAUGGCAUGGCUAUUUCUUUCCCCUUCACGCCCCCAGCCCGAUUUCCAGCCUCGGUUCCAUCCCUCUGGGCAACUUGGGCGAGCGGAUCCUGGGUUCGAGUCCUGCGCCAAAGGGCUCCAGGUCGAGGCGACACUGGCAACCUCAAGGAUGUAGGCCGGAAAGAGGAAGAAUACUAGAAGUGAACAAUUGGCUUCUUGGACCAUGGUCUGCACUUUCAUGAAGAAGGACUUCUUGCAAGAGAUGUGUUACACCUUACAGCAGUUGGAAACAAGUUGGUAAAGUGAGUCUCCGUCUCUCCAGAUGGUUUCCGCACUUCUUCUCCAUGGCUGGAAAUCAUGGCUAUGGGAUCCUCAGAAGAAAGGUUUAGCCUCAAGGAAGGUAAUUGUCAUGUGUUCCUUCCCUUUUCACCCUGCUCCCAAAACUCCACAAAUACUACUCUCUAAAAGCCCUACUGUCCCUUAAUCAACAGGCAGGAACUGCCCCUUCAUUCUGUUUGCUUCUUUUGUGUAUCUAUAUUAAGCCAUCAAAAGAAAUAACCUCCUAGCAAAUCUUAGCCUUUCAUGCCUUCACAGACUUCUGCCUUCUUUGGAUUAUGAACAAACUUGCAUGUAUACAAGGAGAUUCCUUAAACUGAAGGCUUUUGAGAUCUGCAGUGCUAGAUGAUGGGCAAAAUACAGUCAGUGGGCUUCCCCUCUCUCCCUUCCAUCACAUCAUUGCUGUUCACAACUCCCUCUGUAACUUUGAUCUGUCGUCCGGACUCAGUGCCCAGUCCACACAACAGCCCAGAGGAAAAAUGCAAGGCAAGUGACAGAUGUGUCCUCAUUUCCUCAGUGUUUUCACUUUUCACUAAUUUGGAGAGCCAAAGACACUACCAACAACAAUAGUAGCUCUAAGGAUUUCCUCUGGGAGUCAAGAACAGACCUCCUGAAAAGGUGUGGGCUUUGGCAAGUAUGUAACCAUGAUGCCCAUCCCUGGCUAUCACAUACACACAAUAAAAUAAUAGACUAGAGCAAACGUUAAUGUUACAAAUUC